AUUGAACGCUGGCGGCAUGCCUUACACAUGCAAAUCGAACGGUAACGGGCCUUCGGGUGCCGACGAGUGGCGAACGGGUGAGUAAUACAUCGGAACGUGCCCGAUCGUGGGGGAUAACGAGGCGAAAGCUUUGCUAAUACCGCAUACGAUCUACGGAUGAAAGCAGGGGACCGCAAGGCCUUGCGCGGACGGAGCGGCCGAUGGCAGAUUAGGUAGUUGGUGGGAUAAAAGCUUACCAAGCCGACGAUCUGUAGCUGGUCUGAGAGGAUGAUCAGCCACACUGGGACUGAGACACGGCCCAGACUCCUACGGGAGGCAGCAGUGGGGAAUUUUGGACAAUGGGCGCAAGCCUGAUCCAGCCAUGCCGCGUGCAGGAUGAAGGCCUUCGGGUUAUAAACUGAUUUUGUACGGAACGAAAAGCCUUCUUUUAAUACAGGAGGGUCAUGACGGUACCGUAAGAAUAAGCACCGGCUAACUACGUG
rnacentral:rRNA from 1 species